GCCGGCAGCUAGCUUUCUGCAACUCUCACAUGGUCAUCAAACUGAAGCUAAGCAGGGCUGCGCCAGGUCAGUACCUGGAUGGGAGACCUCUUGGGAAAGCUGGGUUGCUGCCGGAA
ensembl:rRNA 5S_rRNA 5S ribosomal RNA